rnacentral:lncRNA from 1 species
AGGCCCGUUACUAAACAGAGUUUAGAAUUGUUUCUUUUUAAAACCGGCUCAAGUAAAAAAUGAACCCUCCUAUCUCAAAUAAAUGUGAAUAUCUAUAUAACCUGGACUUGUGUUGAAGUUUUACUCUUUUUUUUUUAGUUUGCCGAAUACUUUUAUUUCCUGGCUGCUUGAUUGACAGCUGUGAUGGUACAAGUUUAGAGUUGUGUGCUUUUAAUUUACAAAUUGCUGCAGAUUUGCAAUGGAUCACUGCAGAUAUAUUGCCUCUCCUCGUGUGAGGCCAAUGAAGUAUUGAUUGUUACUGGUCUGUUUUGGAAAUUUAAAAAAAUAUAUAUUUUUUGGACAUACAACUAUUAAGUGAUUUGUACUAGGUGGAGGAUUUGUAUGCAUUUCCUCAAUAAUGCAUUACCAUAUGGUGGUUCGGGGGGGGAGCAGGCGCUACUCCAAGUAGUAUAAUUCCUUUUAAAGUACAAGUUGAUUUCUUAUUAUUCCAAGGGCAUCUUAUCUGCUUUGAACAAUAUUAAGUUUUUUUUAAAGUUUAGUGGCUCUUUAUUAUUUAUUAAUUUCAGACUAGAACUACACAUAUUUCUCCUUUUUAGAAAUAUGCGAUAAUCCCUCAUUUACAAAUGUCCAGAAAGGUUGUGUGAUUUUAAUAUUUUUCUGACUUUUCUCGAGAAAAUACUAAAAUUACAUGGCCUCCCGGGGCUUUCACACAAUUUUUUCCCCUUUGUUUUAGCAUUUUUACUUUGGAAGCUGUUUGGUUGUUUUUACC